GGAGAGGCCCAUGUCGGCGGCGCUGACCUCGGCGUUCGCGUCCUCGAACAUGAGGUUGAACUUGUCUCCGGUCUUGAGCGUGAAGCAGUGGAAUGCGUCAUUCACGCCCGCCUUGGCGCACUCAGCCUUGCAGACGUGCUUGGGGCAGGUGGCGCCCCACUGCGUGGCCUUGCCGUAGGAUCCCUUGAACUCGUUGCAGGUGCCGAGGUAGGUGUCGAUGCGAUCGGUGCCGCAAGGGCUCUUCUCGGCGUUCUUGCUGUCGCACUUGCCAUAGCAACUGUAGGAUCCGGGUUCGGCCUGGAGCGUGGUCUUCUCCGCGUCGGUGAGAUCCGCGGGGGGCUUGCCC
rnacentral:lncRNA from 1 species